UACGUAGGGGGCGAGCGUUGUCCGGAUUUAUUGGGCGUAAAGAGCGUGUAGGCGGCCAGGUAGGUCUGCUGUGAAAACUCGAGGCUCAACCUCGAGACGUCGGCGGAAACCAUCUGGCUAGAGUCCGGAAGAGGAGAGUGGAAUUCCUGGUGUAGCGGUGAAAUGCGCAGAUAUCAGGAAGAACACCCGUGGCGAAGGCGGCUCUCUGGGACGGUACUGACGCUGAGAGCGAAAGCGUAGGGGAGCGGAACAGG
rnacentral:rRNA from 1 species